UGUGCUCGCCUGACCCGUCUGAUGUGCCGCCGUGGGCGCUCGGCGGAGGGUGGCGGCAGCGCUCAGCUAACCCAAAGUGACACGUGCCUGGCGGGACGUUCAGCCUUUCCAAA
rfam:Tupaia belangeri cont1.652394, whole genome shotgun sequence.